rnacentral:rRNA from 1 species
CGGGGGGAGCAAGCGUUGUUCGGAUUUACUGGGCGUAAAGGGCGCGUAGGCGGCGCAACAAGUCACUUGUGAAAUCUCCGGGCUUAACCCGGAGCGGCCAAGUGAUACUGUCGUGCUAGAGUGCGGAAGGGGCUACUGGAAUUCUCGGUGUAACGGUGAAAUGCGUAGAUAUCGAGAGGAACACCUGCGGCGAAGGCGGGUAGCUGGGCCGACACUGACGCUGAGGCGCGAAAGCCAGGGGAGCGAACGGGAUUAGAUACCCCGGUAGUCCUGGCCUUAAACGAUGGAUGCUUGGUGUCCGGGGUUACAUAGUCCCCGGGUGCUGGCGCUAACGCAUUAAGCAUCCCGCCUGGGGAGUACGGUCGCAAGACUG